rnacentral:rRNA from 1 species
UACGGAAGGCAGCAGUGGGGAAUAUUGCACAAUGGGCGAAAGCCUGAUGCAGCUAUGCCGCGUGUAUGAAGAAGGCCUUAGGGUUGUAAAGUACUUUCAUCGGGGAGGAAAAAACAAAACUAAUAAUUUUAUUUCUUGACGUUACCCGAAAAAGAAGCACCGGCUAACUCCGUGCCAGCAGCCGCGGUAAUACGGAGGGUGCUAGCGUUAAUCAGAAUUACUGGGCGUAAAGAGCACGUAGGUGGUUUUUUUAAGUCAGAUGUGAAAUCCCUGGGCUUAACCUAGGAACUGCAUUUUGAAACUGAAAUACUAGAGUAUCGUAGAGGGAGGUAGAAUUCUAGGUGUAGCGGUGAAAUGCGUAGAUAUCUGGAGGAAUACCUGUGGCGAAAGUGGCCUCCUAAACGAAUACUGACACUGAGGUGCGAAAGCGUGGGGAGCAAACAGGGAUUAGAUACC